GAUGAACGCUGGCGGCGUGCCUAAUACAUGCGAGUCGAGCGAACGGACGAGAAGCUUGCUUUUCUGAUGUUAGCGGCGGACGGGUGAGUAACACGUGGAUAACCUACCUAUAAGACUGGGAUAACUUCGGGAAACCGGAGCUAAUACCGGAUAAUAUUUUGAACCGCAUGGUUCAAAAGUGAAAGACGGUCUUGCUGUCACUUAUAGAUGGAUCCGCGCUGCAUUAGCUAGUUGGUAAGGUAACGGCUUACCAAGGCAACGAUGCAUAGCCGACCUGAGAGGGUGUUCGGCCACACUGGAACUGAGACACGGUCCAGACUCCUACGGGAGGCAGCAGUAGGGAAUCUUCCGCAAUGGGCGAAAGCCUGCCGGAGCAACGCCGCGUGAGUGAUGAAGGUCUUCGGAUCGUAAAACUCUGUUAUUAGGGAAGAACAUAUGUGUAAGUAACUGUGCACAUCUUGACGGUACCUAAUCAGAAAGCCACGGCUAACUACGUG
rnacentral:rRNA from 1 species